UACGGGGGGGGCAAGCGUUGUUCGGAAUUACUGGGCGUAAAGGGCUCGUAGGUGGCCAACUAAGUCAGACGUGAAAUCCCUCGGCUUAACCGGGGAACUGCGUCUGAUACUGGAUGGCUUGAGUUCGGGAGAGGGAUGCGGAAUUCCAAGUGUAGCGGUGAAAUGCGUAGAUAUCUGGAGGAACACCGGUGGCGAAGGCGGCAUCCUGGACCGACACUGACGCUGAGGCGCGAAAGCUAGGGGAGCGAACGGG
rnacentral:rRNA from 1 species